rnacentral:tRNA from 1 species
GAGGGUAUAGCUCAAUGGUAGAGCACUGUGUUUAACAUGGACGAGGUCCUGGGCUCAAUUCCCAGUACUUCCA